UACGUAGGUGGCAAGCGUUGUCCGGAUUUAUUGGGUUUAAAGGGUGCGUAGGCGGUCUUAUAAGUCAGUGCUGAAAUAUCCCGGCUUAACCGGGAGGGUGGCAUUGAUACUGUAGGACUUGAGUAAAGUUGAGGUUGGCGGAAUUGACGGUGUAGCGGUGAAAUGCUUAGAUAUCGUCAAGAACACCUAUUGCGGAGGCAGCUAACUAAGCUUUAACUGACGCUGAGGCACGAAAGUGUGGGGAUCAAACAGG
rnacentral:rRNA from 1 species